rnacentral:sRNA from 1 species
UGAUUAAAUGUUGUAACGAUGGAAGAA